rnacentral:rRNA from 1 species
UGGUGGGUAGUUUGACUGGGGCGGUCUCCUCCUAAAGAGUAACGGAGGAGCACGAAGGUUGGCUAAUCCUGGUCGGACAUCAGGAGGUUAGUGCAAUGGCAUAAGCCAGCUUGACUGCGAGCGUGACGGCGCGAGCAGGUGCGAAAGCAGGUCAUAGUGAUCCGGUGGUUCUGAAUGGAAGGGCCAUCGCUCAACGGAUAAAAGGUACUCCGGGGAUAACAGGCUGAUACCGCCCAAGAGUUCAUAUCGACGGCGGUGUUUGGCACCUCGAUGUCGGCUCAUCACAUCCUGGGGCUGAAGUAGGUCCCAAGGGUAUGGCUGUUCGCCAUUUAAAGUGGUACGCGAGCUGGGUUUAGAACGUCGUGAGACAGUUCGGUCCCUAUCUGCCGUGGGCGCUGGAGAACUGAGG